UACGUAGGGUGCAGCGUUGUCCGGAAUCAUUGGGCGUAAAGCGCGCGUAGGCGGCCUCGUAAGUCCGUUGUGAAAGUCAAAGGCUCAACCUUUGAAAGCCGAUGGAUACUGUGAGGCUAGAGUCCGGAAGAGGCGAGUGGAAUUCCUGGUGUAGCGGUGGAAUGCGCAGAUAUCAGGAGGAACACCAAUAGCGAAGGCAGCUCGCUGGGACGGUACUGACGCUAAGGCGCGAAAGCGUGGGAGCGAACAGG
rnacentral:rRNA from 1 species